GAUGAACGCUGGCGGCGUGCUUAACACAUGCAAGUCGAACGGGAUCCCAGGGGUGCUUGCACUUUUUGGUGAGAGUGGCGAACGGGUGAGUAGCACGUGAGUAACCUGUCCUUUUCUUUGGGAUAAUCAUUCGAAAGGGUGUUUAAUACCUUAUGUUCUUUCUGCCUCGCAUUGGGUGGGUGGGAAAGGCUUUGGCCGGAUUUGGGUGGGCUCGCGGUCUAUCAGCUUGUUGGGGGGGUGAUGGCUUACCAAGGCUUUGACGGGUAGCCGGUCUGAGAGGGGGGUGGGUCACAUUGGGACUGAGAUACGGCCCAGACGCCUGCGGGAGGCAGCAGUAGGGGAAAUUGCACAAUGGGCGAAAGCCUGAUGCAGCGACGCCGCGUGGGGGAUGAAGGCCUUCGGGUUGUAAACUUCUUUUGCUCUGAACAAGGCAUGCCAGUGGGUGUGUGGAGUGUAGGGGUUGAUUAGCGCCGGCUAACUACGUG
rnacentral:rRNA from 1 species